UUCUGGCUCAGGAUGAACGCUGAAAGUAUGCAUUACACAUGCGAGUUUGUUACUAUAAAAAAAAUAAUAAGCGUACGGGUGCGUAAUACAGAGGUAUGAUUGUCCAGAAAUUGAGGAGCAACUCAAAUGGUACAAACCGUUUCUGGGUUAACUUUUGGAGGAUCAGGAUGUUGGUGUGGUAGCGGCACACCUAGCCACAGACCCUUAGCUGUGUUGAAAGAUGGUACAGCCACAUUGGAACUGAGAUAAGGUCUAAGCUUUGUUUAAAGCCUGCAGUGGGGAAUUCUGGGCAAUGGGCGAAAAGCCUGACCCGGCAAUACUUUGGGAUGACGAAGAGCUUUUGUAAAAUCCUAGUUUAUUUUUUUAUCAUGAAAAAAAAAUAAAAAUUACUAGCCCCGGCAAAUUUCUGUGCCAGCAGCCGCGGUAAGACAGAAGGGGCUAGUGUUAUCCAUCAUGAUUAGGUGUAAAAGGUAUGUAGGUGGUGCGCACAGUACUGG
rnacentral:rRNA from 1 species